rnacentral:rRNA from 1 species
GAGCGAACAGGAUUAGAUACCCUGGUAGUNCACGCCGUAAACGUUGGGCACUAGGUGUGGGGGGCCUUUUCCGGGUUNUCCGCGCCGUAGCUAACGCAUUAAGUGCCCCGCCUGGGGAGUACGGCCGCAAGGCUAAAACUCAAAGGAAUUGACGGGGGCCCGCACAAGCGGCGGAGCAUGCGGAUUAAUUCGAUGCAACGCGAAGAACCUUACCAAGGCUUGACAUGUGCCGGUCGGCUCCGGAGACGGGGUUUCCUCCUUGUGGGGCCGGUUCACAGGUGGUGCAUGGUUGUCGUCAGCUCGUGUCGUGAGAUGUUGGGUUAAGUCCCGCAACGAGCGCAACCCUCGUCUCGUGUUGCCAGCACGUUGUGGUGGGGACUCGCGGGAGACUGCCGGGGUCAACUCGGAGGAAGGUGGGGAUGACGUCAAAUCAUCAUGCCCCUUAUGUCUUGGGCUUCACGCAUGCUACAAUGGCCGGUACAGAGGGCUGCGAUACCGUGAGGUGGAGCGAAUCCCUUAAAGCCGGUCUCAGUUCGGAUCGGUGUCUGCAACUCGACACCGUGAAGUUGGAGUCGCUAGUAAUCGCAGAUCAGCAACGCUGCGGUGAAUACGUUCUCGGGCCUUGUACACACCGCCCGUCACGUCAUGAAAGUCGGCAACACCCGAAGCCCGUGGCCUUACGGGG